GACGAACGCUGGCGGCGUGCUUAACACAUGCAAGUCGAACGGAAAGGCCCUGCUUUUGUGGGGUGCUCGAGUGGCGAACGGGUGAGUAACACGUGAGUAACCUGCCCUUGACUUUGGGAUAACUUCAGGAAACUGGGGCUAAUACCGGAUAGGAGCUCCUGCUGCAUGGUGGGGGUUGGACAGUUUGGUCGGUUGGGGAUGGACUCGGGGUUAUCAGCUUGUUGGUGGGGUAGUGGCUUACCAAGGCUUUGACGGGUAGCCGGCCUGAGAGGGUGACCAGCCACAAUGGUACUGAGAGACGGCCCAGACUCCAACGGGAGGCAGCAGGGGGGAAUAUUGCACAAUGGGCGGAAGCCUGAUGCAGCAACGCCGCGUGCGGGAUGACGGCCUUCGGGUUGUAAACCGCUGUCGCCUGUGACGAAGCGUGAGUGACGGUAAUGGGUAAAGAAGCACCGGCUAACUACGUG
rnacentral:rRNA from 1 species